UUUUUCAUUUAUGGCCCAUGUCUGCUGCCCCAUGUGCUUUGGUUUUCCUGUUUUUCGAAGUCCCCCUGGUGCAAUUGUAUAAUUUUAUUUCUCCGUUUCAUAACCCAUUCCAUUCUUGAUUGAUUCGCCACUUAUGGAGCCAUUGCAUGGACGAAGUGAAGCCACUCUUCCCAUUGGUGAGAGAACAAAUAGUCUACUCAUUUUAUUUCUCUUUUGAUUUUCUUCAUCCGGAUGUUCUUUCCUUCGAACGUCGGAAAUAAAUAGAGGUGCUGAUCUGCAAAUUGCCAUGGUCAGAAAUCAGUCUCACAAACCCCACCACGCUAAUCAUGAUUACUUUUACUUCUUGCUGUCAUCAACAAGCGCGCUCCAUUUUCAGUUUCAAUUUCAGUCUCUCUUUCACAUUCUUCUUCACCGUCUCUAAUGGCUUUGAAUUUGAUUAUGCUUUUUGCUUUUGUAUAUAUAAGUUGAUGCCUUCGGGGUAUGAAUCUAAAGUUUUGGGUGGUUGAAGGAGGACCAGAGAAUGUGUAUGAAGCAGUGUAGCACUGAUGAUCUGUAUGAAGCAGUGAUUUCUUUUUGCUCUUCUUUGCAGACGUCCUUCAUCCUUGAGCACUGGAAACUUCUAUCAUCCUCAAUCACUAAGGCAAAGAUGGUAAAAUAGCUUUUGGGGGUUCUUUGAUUAUGAAGGCAAAUAAUUCAAUCUUGAGAAGUGUCCAAGGUCCACUCUUCAACCCCAAUGCAUUGAAUAUCUUGGAUGAGUAAGUUCUCACUCACACACGUACUAGAGACAUACAUUUCAAUAAGCUUCAGAUCCAUAUCCAAAAAUCUUAGCUAUAAAGAUUCACUUUUUCUAUGGCCUGAAUCUAUCUAAAUGCUACUAUUGUUGUAUCUCAUAAUUUUAAAAGAUGUGGUUUAGUAAUCUUCACUAUUUGUCUCUGUGGUAAUGAUUCUGCUUUUUUUUUUUUUUUUUGCUUCGUACCGCCUACCAUCUUUGGCUUAUCGUUCUGUUUUAUUUGUUUUUUUGUCCAUAUUAUUUGUUCAGGAGCAAUCAACUUGGGUGAACAAUUAAGUCAAUAUAUGGUUAACACAUUAACCAUUCUUUAAAAGAUCUAAAUUAUCUUUAUUAUUAAUUGAGUGAAUGUUUUAAGUGAUUCUUGUGGUUGUCCAAAAGCGACUCUGAAGCACCAUUAAUUAGUUUGUCAUUUGUCUUGUGACAACUCUUUAUAUAUGCAUGCAUGUACAUAGAAUAAGAAAUUAUUUUUAGUUUAAUGAUAGUUGAUCAGUUAUUUGUAUUAAUUAUUUAUAUUAGUGUUACUUGGAACUUUUAUCACUUUCUUCUCUACAGUAUUUGAAAGAUCAAAGGCUUCCUCCUUAGACAUUUAUUCCUUUGCAAUCAGUUUGUGUGAAGCCAGUUAUUGAAAGAUUGCGCACAUUAGGUGGCACAGCAAAGCUGGUUUUUGAUGUCAUCCAUUAUUCUUUUUUACCAAUUAUUGCUCUGCAGAUCCUGUUGCAUUUUUUUGUCUAUGUAAUGCUUUUUUCCUGCAUUUUUCUUGUCUUAGAAAGAUGGUAAAUCAAGUUAGUGUAAAUCUGAUCUCUCAUUACUGCUUCCUUUAUGUGCUCAUGUACAUUUAGUUUGAUUUUUGUCUUCUUCAAUUGAUGUUCUGACACUUGUUAUCUCAGACUUGGAAAUGCUUCACACUAUAGAAGCUUCAAGCUUUGUUCUUAUUGGUAAUAAUAAAAUGAUUAUUUCCUAAGUGAAAUUCAAUAUGUUAAUGUUGAUUUAUAUUCCAUGAUUAUUGGUAGCCAUUCGAAAUGCUAUCUAUGACAAUUUGGUUGAGAAAAAAGUAGCAAACUUGUCUUGUGUAUUCAAUAUUUCUGAAAUAGGCAGCGAACAGCUCAGAGGCGUGACUCGACACCAAUUUGGAAGCAGGGACUGAAAAAGCUAAUUUGUUCGUCAGAGGCUCUUCUAUGUCAGAUGGAACAAGUGUGAGUGCAAGGCUAAUCUUGAAAGGAGAUGGUCAAUGGGUGCUUGGAUUCAAUGUCCAAGAAGAAAAAAAUACCCCUUGUCAUUGCAGAAGUUAAUGCUACAAGAGUUGGGAUUAAUCUAUCCUGAGACAAAGGAAUGCAUGCUAUCAAAGUUCAAACACCAAAUGCAAGUUGCUACAAUCUUCUUGCCAGGGAUAAUGCAGACGAUCAUCCAUAUUCUGAUAUCAUUACCGAAACUGAGAACCUCCUGUUUAGUCAUUAUCAUAUUUGUCUCGGUUUUGCACACACUGAGCCAAUCCCUUGUUUUUUUGAAAUUGUUUGUUUGGGUUGCAAUAGUACUAGGAAAUUUUGGGCCUUUGAUCAUCCAUGACCUCUGUAAUUGAGAGGUUUUGAAUGAUGAAAGGUUUUAAAUUUUCAUUCUCCAAGCAAACUCAACUUAUUAUUCACUACCUAAUUAGUAAAAUAACAUAUUUAAAUG